UACGUAGGGUGCAAGCGUUAAUCGGAAUUACUGGGCGUAAAGCGUGCGCAGGCGGUUCGUCGUGUCCGAUGCGAAAGCCCCGGGCUCAACCUGGGAAUGGCAUUGGAAACUGGCGGGCUUGAGUGUGGCAGAGGGGGGUGGAAUUCCGCGUGUAGCAGUGAGAUGCGUAGAGAUGCGGAGGAACACCGAUGGCGAAGGCAGCCCCCUGGGCUGACACUGACGCUCAGGCACGAAAGCGUGGGGAGCAAACAGG
rnacentral:rRNA from 1 species